UUCCUCCAUUAACAGCAGUGGAAUAUACUUUGGGGGAAUAGAGGCCCAUUGAGUGAAGUUUCUGCCAUAUGAUUCGUCUCAAAUGAGGUAUUUGCUAUGUGUCCCACUCUGUGCUGGUCCCAAAAUGGAGGUGAAGAAGACAGGUUGGGACUCUACCCAGGAGGUUGUACGCUAAUCAAGAGGCAGGUGAACAAGCGAGCAAGGUGGCUGGUGACCAGAUGACCAGGAUCUAAUGUCUUGCUUGUGGAUUCUUGAACCUUUUCCCUGUUCCUGGCUCCUUUACCAGAGGGAAGUUUGAGAGGUGGAAGAGGGAAGAAAAAUGCUGACCAGUUGCACUGGGGCACCUGAGGUCAUCGUUUGAAAAGAUUAGGAUACACAGAGACAUCAGGUGUGGUCACACAUGAGGAAAGACCAUGUGAGGACACAGGGAAAAGGCAGCCAUCUGCAAGCCAAGAAGAGA